rnacentral:rRNA from 1 species
AACGAACGCUGGCGGCAGGCUUAACACAUGCAAGUCGAGCGCCCCGCAAGGGGAGCGGCAGACGGGUGAGUAACGCGUGGGAACGUACCCUUUGCUACGGAAUAGCUCCGGGAAACUGGAAUUAAUACCGUAUGUGCCCUACGGGGGAAAGAUUUAUCGGCAAAGGAUCGGCCCGCGUUGGAUUAGCUAGUUGGUGGGGUAAUGGCCUACCAAGGCGACGAUCCAUAGCUGGUCUGAGAGGAUGAUCAGCCACAUUGGGACUGAGACACGGCCCAAACUCCUACGGGAGGCAGCAGUGGGGAAUAUUGGACAAUGGGCGCAGGCCUGAUCCAGCCAUGCCGCGUGAGUGAUGAAGGCCUUAGGGUUGUAAAGCUCUUUCACCGGAGAAGAUAAUGACGGUAUCCGGGGAAGAAGCCCCGGCUAACUUCGUGCCAGCAGCCGCAGUAAUAC